rnacentral:rRNA from 1 species
UACGGGGGGGCAAGGGCGUUGUUCGGAAUUACGUGGCGUAAAGGGCUCGUAGGUGGCCAACUAAGGUCAGACGUGAAAUCCCCGUCAGCUUAAACCUGGGGGACUGCGUCUGGAUACUGGAGUGGCUUGAGGUUUGGGAGAGGGGAUGCGGGAAAUUCCAGGUGUAGCGGUGAAAUACGUAGAGUAUCUGGAGGAACACCGGUGGCGAAGGCGGCGAUCUGGCCCACAUUGACACUGAGACCCGAAAGCGUGGGAAUGAAACGAGG